AUUGAACGCUGGCGGCAGGCCUAACACAUGCAAGUCGAGCGGAUGAAGGGAGCUUGCUCCUGGAUUCAGCGGCGGACGGGUGAGUAAUGCCUAGGAAUCUGCCUGGUAGUGGGGGAUAACGUCCGGAAACGGGCGCUAAUACCGCAUACGUCCUGAGGGAGAAAGUGGGGGAUCUUCGGACCUCACGCUAUCAGAUGAGCCUAGGUCGGAUUAGCUAGUUGGUGGGGUAAAGGCCUACCAAGGCGACGAUCCGUAACUGGUCUGAGAGGAUGAUCAGUCACACUGGAACUGAGACACGGUCCAGGCUCCUACGGGAGGCAGCAGUGGGGAAUAUUGGACAAUGGGCGAAAGCCUGAUCCAGCCAUGCCGCGUGUGUGAAGAAGGUCUUCGGACUGUAAAGCACUUUAAGUUGGGAGGAAGGGCAGUAAGUUAAUACCUUGCUGUUUUGACGUUACCAACAGAAUAAGCACCGGCUAACUUCGUG
rnacentral:rRNA from 1 species